rnacentral:rRNA from 1 species
UACGAAGGGGGCUAGCGUUGCUCGGAAUUAUUGGGCGUAAAGGGCGCGUAGGCGAUCUGAAAAGUUCUGUGUGAAAGCCCACAUGUUAACUGUGGAAGUGCACAGAAAACUGUUGGAUUUGAGUUCAGGAGAGGAAGGCAGAAUUCCCGGUGUAGCGGUGAAAUGCGUAGAGAUCGGGAGGAAUACCAGUGGCGAAGGCGGCCUUCUGGACUGACACUGACGCUGAGGCGCGAAAGCCAGGGGAGCAAACGGG